rnacentral:rRNA from 1 species
UACGUAGGGGGCAAGCGUUGUUCGGAAUUACUGGGCGUAAAGGGCGCGUAGGCGGCCGAUCAAGUUAGAUGUGAAAGUCCUGGGCUUAACCUGGGGACUGCAUUUGAUACUGAUUGGCUUGAAUUCGGGAGAGGAUAGCGGAAUUCCCAGUGUAGAGGUGAAAUUCGUAGAUAUUGGGAAGAACACCGGUGGCGAAGGCGGCUAUCUGGACCGACAUUGACGCUGAGGCGCGAAAGCGUGGGGAGCAAACAGG